rnacentral:rRNA from 1 species
UGGGGAAUUUUGGACAAUGGGCGAAAGCCUGAUCCAGCCAUGCCGCGUGAGUGAUGAAGGCCCUAGGGUUGUAAAGCUCUUUUGUGCGGGAAGAUAAUGACGGUACCGCAAGAAUAAGCCCCGGCUAACUUCGUGCCAGCAGCCGCGGUAAUACGAAGGGGGCUAGCGUUGCUCGGAAUCACUGGGCGUAAAGGGUGCGUAGGCGGGUCUUUAAGUCAGGGGUGAAAUCCUGGAGCUCAACUCCAGAACUGCCUUUGAUACUGAGGAUCUUGAGUUCGGGAGAGGUGAGUGGAACUGCGAGUGUAGAGGUGAAAUUCGUAGAUAUUCGCAAGAACACCAGUGGCGAAGGCGGCUCACUGGCCCGAUACUGACGCUGAGGCACGAAAGCGUGGGGAGCAAACAGGAUUAGAUACCCUCGUAGUCCCUGAGCGGGCUGGCAAGGCGCAU